GCGCUGCGCGCUGGGCGUAGCAACGCCUUUUCGACUGCUAAGUGAUUAUCUGUCUGUAUUGAGCACCCUCCGGACGCUGCUCAACUGUCGGCUCACUCUGCUGCCUGGGCUUACGCUGCCCUGCGGAGCUCAGCCACGGGCGACGGGAUGUCAGCUCCAACUGUCGCGGCCUGUGCUGCCGAUCGGGCCUCAGUCCCUGCCGGCGCCGGAUGGGACGCCGACGUCGGCCGCUGCCGAUCAGUCUGUGGUCCGCCGAUGAUCGGACUCGUGCUGGACUCGUGCCAUAACUACCUCCGAUGUGACUCGCGGCAAGCUGCCGACGUCCAUCUCAGUCGCCAGAAUGCUGCCAUCUGGGCCCUCGUUGCUGUCGGCGAGAGUCGCACUGCGAGUGGCCUAACCUCGACCUCCACUGACCUCGGUCCCUGCCGACACCGGUGGGACGCCACGUCGGCCGCUGCAGAUCCGGCUCUGAUCCACCGCCGAUCAGACUCGUACCAUACCUACCUCCGACUUGAUUCUCAGCAAGCCACCAGCGUCCGUCUCAGUCGCUCGUCACAGUCACCAGGAUGCUGCAAUCUGGGCUCUCAUUGCUGACGGCGCGAGUCGCUCUGCGAGUGGCCUAACCUCGACCUCUGCUGACCUCGGACCCUGCCGACGCCGGUGGGAUGCCACGGCGGCCGCUGCAGAUGAUGACCCUGCUCUGACUUGACGCUCCACUGGUCGUGGGUGCUGCCGGCCCCGCCUCAAGCGCCGGUGAUGCUGCCGUCUGAAUGCCGGGCUAGGCGCCCGGCCUCGAUGUGCGCGAAACAAGCCCAAGCCCCCGCCCCUAUGACCCAUCCGGGCCAACCCGGGACUGGUCCCUCCUGUGAGGGGCCGGUCGGCCGGCCGGGCGUGCGGAGCGCCGACCUAGACGGGUCGACGCUUCGCUCGCCCGGUCGGUGGUUAGGGGGCACCGUCCGGGGUUGCUUGCCGGGCGGUGCGGGCGGGGGCUGGCGGCCCGCCUGGAGCGCCGGGGAGGUAGCCAUCAGAUCUCCCCGGCUGGGGAAGCAUCCCCCAGCUCUCCCCAGGGCCGUGGACGGCACCGUCCCGGCCUGGCCAGGCGGGCCGCCGAUGGUGAGCAGUGGGGACAGUCGUUUGGGCGAUCACACUGCCCCGGUGGUGGCGUGAGGGGGAUGCGUGAUUUCUCCUCAGCUGCAUUCACUGUAUGCACUGUGUGAAUCUAAUGGCGAUGGCGCUGCUCUUACCUACAACCUACUUAACUACUAACACUGACUGACCACUCUAACAAUACUAGCAUGUACAUAUCCUAAAUCCAACCCCCUUCCACGAGCAGCGCCAUCUAUCUAUUAUAACUGCCAUGUACGCCAUCUGUUUUCUGUUCCAUGGGCUGCUCUCACUCGCUUUCUUUGUACCUGUUCAAAUAUACCACCGGUGGGAACCGGAAUGAACGAAAAAAAAACUCACCAUAAAUAAAACAUGUUGCAUACCAGUCGAUCCGUAUCGUCAAGCUUAAAACAUUCACGGUGUUUUAUGGCUCUAGAACAGUGGUCGGCUGGUCGCACGAGUGGUGCCCACUUUAUGGGCGCUGGACGGGGCCAUUACCCCCACUUGUCAUACCCCAUUGCAAGCCCCAUUGCUUACACAGCAAGGGUCGCUGAUAUUCGGCCAUAUCCUUUGACGCCUCUAUUGUUCUGCAUCUAAAUAAAAUGCAACACAA